rnacentral:rRNA from 1 species
GACGAACGCUGGCGGCGUGCUUAACACAUGCAAGUCGAACGGAAAGGCCCUGCUUUUGUGGGGUGCUCGAGUGGCGAACGGGUGGGUAACACGUGAGUAACCUGCCCUUGACUUUGGGAUAACUUCAGGAAACUGGGGCUAAUACCGGAUAGGAGCUCCUGCUGCAUGGUGGGGGUUGGAAAGUUUCGGCGGUUGGGGAUGGACUCGCGGCUUAUCAGCUUGUUGGUGGGGUAGUGGCUUACCAAGGCUUUGACGGGUAGCCGGCCUGAGAGGGUGACCGGACACAUUGGGACUGAGAUAAGGCCCAGACUCCUACGGGAGGCAGCAGUGGGGAAUAUUACACAAUGGGCGGAAGCCUGAUGCAGCAACGCCGCGUGCGGGAUGACGGCCUUCGGGUUGUAAACCGAUUUCGCCUGUGACGAAGCGUGAGUGACGGUAAUGGGUAAAGAAGCACCGGCUAACUACGUG